AUUGAACGCUGGCGGCAUGCCUUACACAUGCAAGUCGAACGGCAGCACGGGUGCUUGCACCUGGUGGCGAGUGGCGAACGGGUGAGUAAUACAUCGGAACAUGUCCUGUAGUGGGGGAUAGCCCGGCGAAAGCCGGAUUAAUACCGCAUACGAUCUACGGAUGAAAGCGGGGGACCUUCGGGCCUCGCGCUAUAGGGUUGGCCGAUAGCUGAUUAGCUAGUUGGUGGGGUAAAGGCCUACCAAGGCGACGAUCAGUAGCUGGUCUGAGAGGACGACCAGCCACGCUGGGACUGAGACACGGCCCAGACUCCUACGGGAGGCAGCAGUGGGGAAUUUUGGACAAUGGGCGAAAGCCUGAUCCAGCAAUGCCGCGUGUGUGAAGAAGGCCUUCGGGUUGUAAAGCACUUUUGUCCGGAAAGAAAUCCUUGGCUCUAAUACAGUCGGGGGAUGACGGUACCGGAAGAAUAAGCACCGGCUAACUACGUG
rnacentral:rRNA from 1 species